ensembl:snRNA U2 U2 spliceosomal RNA
AUUGCUUCUUGGCCUUUUGGCUAAGAUCAAGUGUAGCAUCAUUCAUAGAUUUUCAUUCUCAGGUUAACUUUUUCUAAAGGUAACCUCUACCAGGCCCAGUUUUUAUGGACUGAAGAGGAGGGAGAAGCUGGGUAUGGUGGCACAUUC